rnacentral:lncRNA from 1 species
AAUUUUUAUAACAGGGAUUCUGAAUAGCUUUUCCUCAUCAUCUAUAAUGUUCCACUUUUGGGAAAGUACUCUAUGUCUUAUGAAAUAUUUUUGCAUAAUAACAUGAGUAAAGAUUAAUUUCAACUGGUAGAUCUGCAUGUAUCACCACUUGUAAUUCUAAAGAGUGAAUACAAAGCUCCAAGAAAUUGAUGCAUAAAUCCUAGCUGAAAAUUAUCUAGAAUAUUUUUUUUAAUGGUAUUGACUGUUUGUUUGGCAGCAUAUACAGGUACUUGAUUUUUUUAACCAUUUUGUAAGAUCUAUGCAUUGCUGGUACUGGUUAAAAAAACCCUGUUUUUUUCUCAGUUAUGGGUACAUAAAGUGGGAAAAAUACAAAGUGGUUGAAUUGAAAUCAAAAUAUUGAAAAUACUACAGUGAUCUUUUUAAGAACUGGAUCAAAAUUUUUGAGACAAGAACAGAGUCUAAACCACAUUACAAUCUUACCCCUGUUAAAUACCUACAAAAUAAAAGGAAUCUGUAGCAGAGUAGACCAGAGUAAAUGAUUCCACCUCGCAGUAGCUUUUGAGAUAAUUAAAUGAGUUCUUUUUCUUCUUUACAAAAUGGGUCCAUGCAGAUCUUUUCAUGGAAAGUAGUUGAGUCUGAACAUUCUUUCUUAAAAUAUCCAGAUAGCCAAAGGGGUUGCAUUUAAAUCCCUCUCUUGUAAGAAGUCUACUUCAGGUAUCUGAAGCCUUCUCACCAAAACCUAGGAUAUAUAUGUGUACGUAUAUAUAUACACACACACAUAUAUGUAUACAGAAAUUAAAUAGAACAAUUAGAUUAAAGAAAAUACAAAAAUAUUCUACUUUCAAAUUUUAAUUUCACCUGCUUAGCCCACCAGACUUGCAGACCUUCCCUGAGGUUCUCAGGGAGGAAGCUAAAAGCUGGAGAUGAGUAAGACCUGAACUGACAACCACUGAAAACAGUGAAAAGAAACCUUGUAAUUGAGAUUCCAUGGAAUUCUAAGCUUUUCAUCUCAAAAAGAAAGAAGGAGGACCAGAAAAGACUGCAGGGAAGAGCUAAGAGCAGCAAGGAUAAUAAUCCCAGUUGCUGCAUGGCUUUCAUCAAAAGCAGUGAGCAAGUGGGGAGUCCUGCUGGAGGAGACGCAAGGCCUUUGUGGGGAUAGAAAAGCCACACUACAUGAGGGGAAGUUUAAUUACCCAGCUGAUUGGACAAUACUGGAGGGUAUUUUAUGAAGUAGCAGUUUAAUUGAGAUGGAGAUAUGCAGUACCUCAUGGUUGUGGCACACUGGAAAUAUUCUCUGAGCAGAUACAGCAACACAAAAGGUUACGGUGACCUGGGACCAAUGUUCAGCUGGAGGAACUUCUGGGCAGGGCAGCUUAUUUCUUUCCAAGAGUCUCCAAUUCUCUUUGCCCCAGUUUUUGAGGUACGUAAAGAAUAUUUUACCUUACUAUCUGAGAGACUGCAAAGAAUUGAUCCUUGUCGACAAAAAAAGCAGCAACUUGACACAAAGUGGCUGAUCAGUUUGAGGGGGUAAGGAGGAAAUCUGCAGAAGAAAAUCACAAAUUAAGGUUUUUGUCUCAAGUCCCACAUGCCUUCUCUGGAAAAUCUUCUUGAAGUUGUUACUGGUGUUACAUGUGAUUUCUGUGCUCAUUAGGAAGACAGAAUGUGCUGCCUGAUGGAGGCUGAAAUCUUAUUGUUGCUGAACAGGUCAAGCAAAAUGCCACAGCCAGCUGAUAGAUCCUGGUGUGCCUAAUGCAUCAAUUCCACAAAACCUCUGAGUUAGGCAAAAUUGCACCAGAUGGGAAUAUCUCCAUUAACUCACCCUCAUCCACACCACUGCAGCUGUCUCUGCCAGCUGACCUUGGCAUUUGGGAGCGUGUUUUCUACCAGACACCCAGAUCAAACAACAGAAGAUGUGCAGCACUUCUGCUAAAAUGCCACGAAGGGAUGAACUGGAAAAGCACAUCAGUGAAACAGAUACUUAAAGCCAAAAAGUAACAGCCACACCAGGCUGUCCAAGGUGGGUACGUCAUUGUGUGCUGGAAAUCUGGGUGGAAGAGGAUUUAAAGGGAGAAUUUUCUGCAUUAGAUGUGCUUCUCUUGUCCUUCCCUAUGACAUUUGGGCAUCUCUCAUCAAAGCCAGACAGAAGGAAUUCUAAAGCCCUGAUACUGACCACAUUUUGCCUUUUCACAGAAUAUUUUCUUACAAGGAAUGAGUAUCAGUGUACCAAGAUUAAAGGGUCAGGAAGAAGAGGCACACAGCUAAACAAAAAUACCUGGGAUCAGUGGUAACUAAGGAAGGAUUCCUUUCCAGAAGGAAAAACUGCAAGACAUCACUUUCAAGUAGCACUUCACCAGCUUUAAGUGCAAUGUACCUUCAAGGACAUGGAUAUUUGACCAGGUUUCCCACAUUCCAAGGCAAUUUUGCCUCCACAGAGAGAGCCUGCACAGAAGUUUCCACCCACGGAGAGCUCCCCUGGCAGGAGUUGUCAGAGGCAGGGAGUUCUCAUUUUCUGAGCCCUCACUGACAUCUGACCCUCCUUGCAACAGGAAGUAAUCUAGAGAAUCACCUUGAUAGAGAUGGUAUAUUAAAAAAAAAAAAAAAAUUAAAUGAGAAGAAUGAGGAGCUCUAAUUUAAUCACCGUGUAGGAACACGCAUUUAGAGAAAGGAAAUGAAUGUGUGACAGAGCCAAGGAAAGCUAAGGAAUAAUCUGAUUAUUUCUAGCAUAAACAUAAUCACUGGGAUAGCAUCCUUGACUGGCUUCAGCAAUUUGUAUCUGCUCAUACCUGAGUAAACUGGAAGUUAAAUGGACUCUAACUCAUCUUGAAACACAGGUUUUUGAAAAAGAACCAUCACAGCUGAAGGAAAGCUGUCUGUCUUCCCCUCUUACCUCAGCAGAGACCACAUUUGCUAUGGAUAAUCCUUCCAACAAAAUGAAAGGAGAGAUGUUUGCUUUUUGGUACCUACCAGGCUGAGGAAUCUGCUCCAGCUGUCCCUGCAGUGGCCAGGAUCAUCAGCCCCUUCACCCUCGUUGUUUUUAAAGGGGGCCAAGGUGGGGAGGUUUAAAAUGUAAAGAGGAACAGGAAAUUGCCUUGAUUGUUUGGACAUACAGGGUUAGAGAGCGAGGAACAGAGAAGAAAAAGAAGCCCUGCAAAUAUUCUUUUCAUUUCUUAAAAUGGCGAUAUUUAUUUGUUAAGAUAAUUAAUUUCAAAUAAUUAUUAACAUAAUAGUUAACUCUGAAAAACUUCAUCAAAAUUAAAUGAAACAAUGAGCCGGUUCCUUCUGAUCAUGCUCAUUGAGACUGCAGCUAUGAAAAAAGGCAUGGGCUACUAUAAAAUCAUUAUUUGUUUCCAUCCACUUGCACAAACAUUAUAAAUAAGACUUUCCUUAUAAAAAUCACAGAAGAUGCUUGUGGCACAUUUUGUAAAAUGCAACUAGAAAAAGACAAGAUACUGUUAAUAAAUAAUACAUUCAAUAACAAAGCAAUUUUUGCUAUUAAGAGACAUCUAGACAUUUUGGGGUACAGUCACCAUGAAACCACCUGAAAAAGGGACAUUCUUCCAAGAAGCACUGCACAGUACUUGAAAAAUGAACAAAUUCUACUGACAUAAUAAUAGAAAAUACAUUAUUGCAGGGCAAAGAAAGAGAUUCCCUUAGUCCUUGAACAGUGUUGGCUGACAGCAAACAUUUGCUGCAUUGGAGAGUGAAUUAGAUCGAAGCCCUAAUCACAAGACUCAGAACACCACCACACUUUGGGAUGUUUAACACACUCCACACAAGUACCUUUGCCCCUGAGCAUGCCAAAAAACCAAUGAUUUGAGAUGUUCACCCAAGUGCUCCUGUCAUUUGGACACAAUGUUCAGCCUGUAAAGCUUACCCAUCAGAAAUGAGACAAAUAUUACAUGCUGGGCACUGGAGGCAAAACAAAUUCAUGGAAUUCUGCAAUCUCAGAGGCAUAAGGGUUUGCUUAUCUACUUUAAAAUCACCUCGAGACAUCGAACUACCACAGUACCACCACACUUUUUCAAUAAACUGGGCAAGAGAAGGAGGAAUGCAAAUAAAAGUACUAGAAUUUAACAGCUAACACUGACAUCCCACAUCACAUGGCUCCUUCGGGAAUAUUGUGUGAGAGAGCAAAAACGGCAACUGUGCCCAGUCCCUAAAGAGCCAGGAGAAACCCUGUGGCUGUCCUGGCAGGGCUUUGCAUAGAGCAGUCCUGUAAAGCACAGACUGAUCCCACAUCAGCCUGUUUUAUCCAAACACGGAGCUCCUUGCCAACACCUGCUGAAGUUUUGGCAGCACCGCGGAUCCAGGCACCGCUUCCCUGGGUGCUGCACCGGGAGCCUCGUCCCUUCUCACAGCCAGAGCCAGCUACAGAGCUCUGAGGUGGGCAGCUCGGGGAAGGGGACAGCCAGCACCUCACUACUGAAGGGAGAAGCCAAGAGAAGCUUUCAGCAGUGCUUCCUGGGCUGCUUGCCUUCAGAUAACACAGUCUGUUCCCAAGGUAAAACACCAGGGACUCGGGAUAACCCCAGCGACAUUCCCUGGUCCCCUGGCUGGGCAGAUACUCAGGAUGGCUGCAGCUCAAACAAAUACUGCUGCCUUGUGAAAUCACUCACUUCUCAUAAAUACCCCUAUGAGGUAAAUGCAAAAUUAACAGUUUUGAAAAACCUUUGCCCGGCCCAUUUCUGUUUUGGUCAAGCACAAAACUUCCCCAGGUUGCUCCAAGUUCCUUUCAAGUGGCUGUGCCUACAAGAAAUGGAGGGGAAUUCUCAGAGUUUGCACUUCAGCUUCUAGCCAUAAGCAGCAAAAUAUAACAAACCACUUAUCUCCUGGCACAGGCACGCACUGCUGGGAGCAGGAUGUGGGCAGGAAACGUGGCGUGGCAUCACCAGUGAGCCUGACUGAUCUCCCAGCCAGUGCAGCCCCGUGAGCCCGUGCUUGGAAGUAAAUCAGAUGUGCUGGAAAUAGAGACAGAUUGUCCCUCACAGUGCUGGAAAGAAGCAGAUUUAACUUUAGGAACAGAGCAAUGUGUUUGUUACUAUCCUUUGGUAGCCAUGCUACCAAAUCCAAGUCCGAGAAGGAAAAGCAGUCUAAAAGGGGAUGUGGCUCACUGCAAAACCCACUAAAAGUAUUUUUUCCCCUUAUCUUCCCUUCUCUUUUCAGUAUUUUCACACUACAGAGCUCACACUACUAAUCCAUCUCAGGGAUACAACAUUCACAUAAAAAGACAUGCAAGUUUUUACAUUCAUCAUCAUCCACAUGCUACAUUUCACAGUUCAUUAUCAGAGCAAUGUACCGCUCUGGGAAAACAUCACAGCAAGGCACCUUUCAUUUCCUUGGUGUCUUUGUUUGCUUGCUUUUCUCUGGAGCUUUCAGAAAUAGCCAGAUGGAAACAUCAUUAACACAGGUUAAAGCUAAGUGUCUGAGUAGGUGUUUCUUUUUUUGUAAAGAAACAAAAAAGUCUACAAGUCCUUGUAACUUCCAUGAGACAUCAAAUGAAAAUUAAAAAUACUUGUAUUGGUGCCAAAUGUUUUUAUUAUUUGGGGUUAGGGUUAGCUUUAAGUUCCCCUUUGGAGGAGGUCCAGAGAUUGCUCAUGUUACCCAGCCCAACAGGACUGGACACAUCUGCCCUGCUCCAGUCUGGAGGCUGGGUCUGUGUUAAAUGGUGGGAUAGUUACCCUUGCAAGCUCAGUAGAGAGGAACAUUCAAAGUCCUGACUACUCUCACUCAAGCCAGGGUUGCUGGCAGGGAGCUCUGAAUUCACUGCUCCCAAGUUAGGAGACCUCUCUCCUGAAACAACUGGAAAAGAGACACUGAUAAAAAUCAGGAUUAUGUUAUUUAAAUGGUUCUUUUGUGCCUGUUAUAUGCACAAUUGUUUACCAUGGUGCAGAUUUGGUCCCAAAAUUUGCAUGUGGAUUUAGUCCAAAAUGCAUCCAAAAGCUCUUCAUAAGAACAGCUUGUCAGAGUGGUACUGAAUAUGUGAAAACUCAGUCUGGUAAGUUUUGCCUCUAGAUGAAGAUCGGGCCUGUGCCCGUGGGGCUGUAAUUCCAAACAUAAUAUUUGAUCACAGUAAGGAUGAUUGAACACAUUGAAAAGCAAAUUUCAGAUGCAAUUUUGGCCUUACAAGAAGAAGUCCAUGAUUUGUCUGGUACAGUUUUACAAAACAGAAUGGACUCUCAAUUUCCUACUACUGCAAAAUCACUAACACUGGUUGCUGUUCCUAUGUAGAUCAGAGUGAAAGAAGUAUUAAGGAUUUGGUUGAAAUUUGAAAGCAAACUCAAAUUCUACAUCAGGUGGCCUUCAAAAGGCCCAUUGAACUUUGAAUAUAUCUUUGACAUUUUCACCUCACGGUUAUGGAACUGGGCCUGGAUAAAAGGAACUGUUCAUACUACUUUAUCUGUAGUUUUUCUUGAAAUAGCAGCUGGGUGUAUGUUACAGGGGUCUAGUUAAAUAUGGAGUAGAGACUAGACAAGGCAGAGUCUUGUUAGUCUCUAAAAAUGGGGGGAAAUGAUGCCAAAUUGAUUUUUGCCUUUUUGCUUUUCUAUAUAUUCUCUGUAUUCUUUAUUGUAUCUAUUCUCUGGAUUCUCUCUAUUUAUAGUUCUGCAGCCUGGUUUUGUAUUCUAGCUACUUUGCCCAGCACAUUUCCCUGCCCUGAUGGGCAGAAAGACAAAACACUUCCAAGGCCCCUGUCCUAUCUUGGAUCUCCCUAGGAAGCAAGGCUGAGCCCAGCUCUCCAAGAUGUAUUUUUAUAAUCAAAGUUUAGUUCCCAGCUAAGAGGGGAUGGGGCAGGAUUCAGAAAGGGUUGAACUCAGGGAAAUUGCCUCACCACUUAUGUCUCUAAUUGACGAUUUUUGUCAAUUAUGCUAAUUAACAAAACUUAUAAAACUGUAUUCAGCCCGUGGAGGGGGUGUGGGCAUUCUGUGGACAUUUUCCAUGUCUGUCCCUGGAAGCCUCCAAUAAAGACCAGCCUUUAUCCUACACUAUCUUCAGAGUGUGUUGUUUUCUUUCUAGGUUCUUUAAGGCAUCAGGAUCACCAUGGUAGUUACAGGCCCUUAUUAAGGGGAAAACUCCUUGUUUUUAACUCAAGUCGAAAGCCAUUUUGGAAGUCAACUUCUAUUUUAUUGACACCUGACUGAAUAUGAGCAUAUAAGAUAUACCAAAGAUUCAAAAUGUAACUAUGUUCAAUUUAGGAUAAAACCCAAAGACACUUAACAGUUUCAUAAACUGGGAUUUAUGAAAGCCAAAAAAUCUUUCAGUUUUUAAAGAGAAAGAUAAUUUGGUGAGAUUUCGUCACUGAAAAUCUAAGUACUGUUAUGAAAAGAAAAUAUUGUGCCCAACACAGGAAAAAAGCAUAAGACCAACUUUUUUUAAGAAAACCAGCAUCUGAGAUUAGAAUAAUGCCUUAGACAUAAACUGUCAUUUUAAAAACAAGAGAGAAGAAAGAAGUAUUUCUUCCUUACAAACACUAUCAGAAAAGAAUUGCAGUUGAAAAGCAGAGGGAGAAGAUAAUCCCAUUCCAUCAAAAAAUCUAAGAAAAUUAUUUGAUGCAUGGAAACACUCACAGACAUCAGAUCCAUCAAGAAUAAUAAAUUACCUGAGGAUUUCUAAUUCACAGCCAGUGAAUGGUGAAGCUUCCCAGUGUAGGAAAAAUCCUUUUUCAUUUUCACUUGGCUCAUCCAACGCACCUGACAAUGGAGCAGCUCGUGGAUCACUUCCACGAGACAAGGACGUGACACAGCUCAUGACUGGAUUUCAAUAUGUGGUGCCUUUGUGUGGCAGAA